UUUUUUAAGGUAAGAAUGUAUUUUUUUAAAAAUUAUGAUUACUUCUACAAAAGGACUUUUUGGCAUAUUUCAAAUUUAAAUUCUUUAUCCCAUAGUUUCUGAUAUCCUACCUUGUCAGUUCUCAGCAUUUAAUCUUACUGUUUUCUGGUGGCAUGAUGCAGCGUUGACAUAAGUUCAUCCAAAUCCUUUCUUCGAGGCGGACAAAAACCCAGCGUUAAUGUGCAGUCUGCAGGACAUACUGUUCCUGUGUUUGUUAAUGGGCAAUUUUCAGGGUUGGCUUUCAGGACAAGGGAGCAGAGAAGUUGCACAUAAAAUGGACCCGUUGACCUACGCGUUGGAACUAACAAAAUUGCUCUUGUAACUUCAACUUGGAGAUAUUUGAUGGCUUAUGCAAAGGGCAACUGUUGGAUUUCAGAAUGUUGGUCGGCAUUAUGAAACAUGGGAGGCAGGGUUCACUGGUCCAGUUUUGCUCCAUGGUCUUGACCAAGGACAGAAAGAUUUGACGAGAAACAAGUGUUCA